rnacentral:pre_miRNA from 1 species
CACGUACUCCCUCCGUCCGGAAAUACUGGUCAUUGAAAUAGAUGUAUCUAGAUGUAUUUUAGUUCUAGAUACAUUCAUUUUCAUUCAUUUUGAUGACAAGUAAUUCCGGACGGAGUGAGUAUAAA